rnacentral:rRNA from 1 species
ACCAGCAGCGAUAGCUCCUUGAAAGCACCAGUUCCGCAUGGAUCACUGAAAUUGAGCACGGUUGCGCGUGGUUAGUACCCGGAUGGGUGACCAUCUGGCCAAUGGGGCUCAACCACUUUUU